GACCGCUAGUGAAAAUCGAUUUUCACUUGUAGUAAGAGUAAUAAACCGCAAGUGAAAAUCGAUUUUCACUGGCGGUC
rnacentral:pre_miRNA from 7 species